CUAUGAAAUUUAUUCAACUUCCUGGUGAUUGUCCACUACCUUAUGUAUCCAAACCAAGAUUCUUACAUCGCGACUCAUCCUGGUUUGAUUAGAAUGACGAAGAAGUUGUCAUAUUCCCAAACAGGAAAACUGGGAUCCCUAGCUUUGAAAGUGGGAUAGCUUCUUCAUCCUAACUACUAUGAGAUUUAUUCAACUUCCUGGUGAGUCUCCACUACUUUAUGUAUCCAAAUCAAGCUUCUUACAUCGCGAUUCAUCCUGGUUUGAUUAGAAUGACGAAGAAGUUGUCAUAUUUCCAAACAGGAAAACUGGGAUCCCCUGAUUUGACAAUGGGAUAGCUUCUUCAUCCUAACUCCUAUAAGAUUUAAUCAUCUUCCUAGUGAGUCUCCAUUACUUUAUGUAUCCAAAUCAAACUUCUUACAUCGCGACUCAUCCUGGUUUGAUUAGAAUGACGAAGAAGUUGUCUUAUUCCCUAAAAGGAAAACUAGGAUCCCUUGCUUUGAUGGUGUGAUAGCUUCUUCAUCCUAACUCCUAUGACAUUUAUUCAACUUCUUGGUGAUUGUCCACUACUUUAUGUAUCCAAAUCAAGCUUCUUACAUCGCGAUUUAUCCUGGUUUGAUUAGAAUGACGAAGCAGUUGUCAUUUUGCCAAACAGGAAAACUAGGAUCACCUGAUUUGACAGUGGGAUAGCUUCAUCAUCAUAACUAACUCCUAUGAUAUUUAUUCAACUUCCUUGUGAGUCUCCACUACUUUAUGUAUCCAAAUCAACCUUCUUACAUCGCGAUUCAUCCUGGUUUGAUUAGAAUGACGAAGGAGUUGUCAUUUUGCCAAACAGGAAAAUUGGGAUCCUUGCUUUGAAAGUGGGAUAGCUUCUUCAUCCCGACUCCUAUAAAAUUUAUUCAACUUCCUGGUGAUUGUCCACUACUUUAUGUAUCCAAAUCAAGCUUCUUAGAUCGCGACUCAUCCUGGUUUGAUUAGAGUGACGAAGAAGUUGUCAUAUUCCCAAACAGGAAAACUGGGAUCCCUUUCUUUGAAAAUAGGAUAGCUUCAUCAUCCUAACUCUUAUGAGUUUAUUCAACUUCCUGUUGAGUCUCCACUAUUUUAUGUAUCCAAAUCAAGAUUUUGACAUCACGACUCAUCCUGGUUUGAUUAGAAUGACGAAGAAGUUGUCAUAUUCCCAAACAGGAAAACUGGGAUCCCUUCCUAUAAAAGUGGGAUAUCUUCUUCAUCCUAACUCCUAUGAGAUUUAUUCAACUUCCUGGUGAUUCUCCACUACAUUAUGUAUCCAAAUCAAGCUUCUUACACCGUGUGAUUCAUCCUGGUUUGAUUAGAAUGACGAAAAGUUGUUAUAUUCUCAAAUAGGAAAACUGGGAUCACCUGAUUUGACAAUGGGAUAGCUUCAUCAUCCUAACUCCUAUGAGAUUUAUUCAACUUCCUGGUGAGUCUCUACUAUUUUAUGUAUCCAAAUCAACUUUCUUACACCGUGAUUCAUCAUGGUUUGAUUAGAAUGACGAAGAAGUUGUCAUAUUCCC
rnacentral:lncRNA from 1 species